rnacentral:rRNA from 1 species
AUUGAACGCUGGCGGCAGGCCUAACACAUGCAAGUCGAGCGGUAGAGAGAAGCUUGCUUCUCUUGAGAGCGGCGGACGGGUGAGUAAUGCCUAGGAAUCUGCCUGGUAGUGGGGGAUAACGUUCGGAAACGGACGCUAAUACCGCAUACGUCCUACGGGAGAAAGCAGGGGACCUUCGGGCCUUGCGCUAUCAGAUGAGCCUAGGUCGGAUUAGCUAGUUGGUGAGGUAAUGGCUCACCAAGGCGACGAUCCGUAACUGGUCUGAGAGGAUGAUCAGUCACACUGGAACUGAGACACGGUCCAGACUCCUACGGGAGGCAGCAGUGGGGAAUACUGGACAAUGGGCGAAAGCCUGAUCCAGCCAUGCCGCGUGUGUGAAGAAGGUCUUCGGAUUGUAAAGCACUUUAAGUUGGGAGGAAGGGUUGUAGAUUAAUACUCUGCAAUUUUGACGUUACCGACAGAAUAGGCACCGGCUAACUCUGUGCCAGCCGCCGCGGUAA